rnacentral:rRNA from 1 species
GCGUUAAUCGGAAUUACUGGGCGUAAAGCGCACGCAGGCGGUCUGUCAAGUCGGAUGUGAAAUCCCCGGGCUCAACCUGGGAACUGCAUUCGAAACUGGCAGGCUAGAGUCUUGUAGAGGGGGGUAGAAUUCCAGGUGUAGCGGUGAAAUGCGUAGAGAUCUGGAGGAAUACCGGUGGCGAAGGCGGCCCCCUGGACAAAGACUGACGCUCAGGUGCGAAAGCGUGGGGAGCAAACAGGAUUAGAUACCCUGGUAGUCCACGCCGUAAACGAUGUCGAUUUGGAGGUUGUGCCCUUGAGGCGUGGCUUCCGGAGCUAACGCGUUAAAUCGACCGCCUGGGGAGUACGGCCGCAAGGUUAAAACUCAAAUGAAUUGACGGGGGCCCGCACAAGCGGUGGAGCAUGUGGUUUAAUUCGAUGCAACGCGAAGAACCUUACCUG